GUAGCUCAGCUGGUUAGAGUAUCGCCUUGACAUGGCGGGGGUCGGUGGUUCGAGUCCACUC
rnacentral:tRNA from 1 species